GCCCUUAGAGUUUGAUCCUGGCUCAGGACGAACGCUGGCGGCGCGCCUAACACAUGCAAGUCGAACGAGCGAGAGAGAGCUUGCUUUCUCGAGCGAGUGGCGAACGGGUGAGUAACGCGUGAGGAACCUGCCUCAAAGAGGGGGACAACAGUUGGAAACGACUGCUAAUACCGCAUAAGCCCACGGCUCGGCAUCGAGCAGAGGGAAAAGGAGCAAUCCGCUUUGAGAUGGCCUCGCGUCCGAUUAGCUAGUUGGUGAGGUAACGGCCCACCAAGGCGACGAUCGGUAGCCGGACUGAGAGGUUGAACGGCCACAUUGGGACUGAGACACGGCCCAGACUCCUACGGGAGGCAGCAGUGGGGAAUAUUGCACAAUGGGGGAAACCCUGAUGCAGCGACGCCGCGUGGAGGAAGAAGGUCUUCGGAUUGUAAACUCCUGUUGUUGGGGAAGAUAAAGACGGUACCCAACAAGGAAGGACGGCUAUAC
rnacentral:rRNA from 1 species